rnacentral:rRNA from 1 species
CAACCUGCCCGGCAGUGGGGGAUAACCCUGGGAAACCGGGGCUAAUACCGCAUACGGUCCGCGCUCCGCAUGGGGCGUGGAAGAAAGGCCGUCGUGAGGCGGUCGCUGCCGGAGGGGCCCGCGGCCCAUCAGCUCGUUGGUGGGGUAACGGCCCACCAAGGCGACGACGGGUAGCCGGCCUGAGAGGGUGGCCGGCCACACUGGGACUGAGACACGGCCCAGACUCCUACGGGAGGCAGCAGUCGGGAAUCUUGCGCAAUGGGCGAAAGCCUGACGCAGCGACGCCGCGUGGGGGAGGAAGCCCUUCGGGGUGUAAACCCCUGUCGUCCGGGACGAAGGUGAGGGGCUGAAAGGCCUCUUGCUGACGGUACCGGAGGAGGAAGCCCCGGCUAACUACGUGCCAGCCGCCGCGGUAAUACA